rnacentral:rRNA from 1 species
GCGCAGCAAGCGCGAAUCUUCCACAAUGGACGAAAGUCUGAUGGAGCGACGCCGCGUGCGGGAUGAAGGCCUUAUGGGUUGUAAACCGCUGUCAGGGGGGAAGAACAUCGGAAUGAACAAUACUCAUUCCGACUGGACGUUACCCCCAGAGGGAAGCUCCGGCCAACUCCGUGCCAGCAGCCGCGGUAAUACGGGGGGAGCAAGCGUUGUCCGGAAUUAUUGGGGCGUAAAGGGCGUGUAGGCGGCGAGGUAAGUCGAA